GCACAUUGUGCUUGGAAAUACAGUCCACUGCACGCAAGGCUCAAGUCAGAGAGUCUAUAAAGAAAUGGUCUACCCAAGGCCAGAAAAUGCUGAGUGUCAGAGAAGGAUCCAAAGGUGACACAACAUAAUAAGGACAGAGGUGUGUCAAGCUUCCAUCCAGGACAAGAAGUGCCAAUGCUCCAUGAAGUGACAUGCCAUCAAAGCCUCCCAUGAAGAUGCUCCUGCUCUCAAACUCCUCCUUCGAUGGAUCACAGAUCCAGAUCCUGUCAACUCUGUAGAGGAACAGGAAGCCGUGCCCAGCAGGAAGGUGUUGCUUCGAGAAGCCCUGUGCCUUUCCCUUCACUGUGGCUGUGUUUUGACAGCAAGGGCUAAUCCCACUGACAGUGAGUUAGUCACAGCUUUCAUGACUAUGACAAGAUACCUGGGAAAACAACUGGAGGGGGAAAGGUUUAUUUUGGCUAAUGUUUUCAGAGGUCAAAGGUCAGCUGACUGGCUGGCUACAUUGUUUCUGGGCCUACAGUACAGCAGAACGCCAUGGUGAAAGGUCAUGGUAAAAUAGACGCUUUUAUCCCCCCAGCAUCCAGGCAACAGAGAGGAUGACAGGAAGUGAUUAGGGACAAAAUAUAAAACCGGAGAACAUGUUCCUAGUGACCCACUUCCUCCAAUCAGGCUCCAUUUCCUACAUCUCUAACAUGUUCAAAUAAUAUAAUUAAGAUAUGAACCCAUCCACGAAUCAAGCCAGGAAUGAAGGCGAGCCCUGGUGGUCCAGUCACCUAUCUAUGGUGCCAUCAGAUGAACAUCAAACCUUCAGCACAUAAACUUUUUAAAGGGACACAUCACAUGAAAACUAUAAAUGGGUCUAUUUUUUUUCUUAUAUCUCAUUUUUUUGGGGAAAACCUUACUCUUUAGUAGACUGCUUGCAGUUGGGUGGUUGCAAAAUCCCAAACCUGUGGAAGGAGACAUCAAACUACUGAAGGUCUAAAUCAAUAGAACCAUCUUCUCAGGGCCCGAUUGCACCAUCACUCUGCUCAUUCUCUCUUCCUUCUGAGUAUAAGACAGCCCUACCCCAACUGCUCCACAACCAUGAUCUCCAUGCCGUGCCCUCGUCUCUUGGCAGCUUCUAGAUUUACAGACGCAGGCAGCCAGCCAUCUCUUUCCCUCUGCAUGUUCUGCCAACAUUCUCUACUAGCUGUUGUUUCUGGUCAUGACACUGUUGCCCCGAGUCCCUGGACUCAGCCUGCCUUUAUGUAUGUCCCUAGUUAACCAGCUUUCUGCUUCUCUUCUUUAUGAUGACAAAACAUUGCUGCCCAUGGACACUGAGGAGGAAACUGAGGAAGACAAACAAUGCAGCAUCUUUCGGGUUCCCCUUCAUUUCUGAAACUGAUACCUCUUUCAAAUGAAAAUGUUUCUGACAUUUUAAAAUAUGCACCUCCAUUCCAAGAAGCACAAUAACAGAGGGAUCCCAUCGUGAGCACAGGGGAGCCAUGGACCUACCAGCACCAAUGAAGCUCUGCCUCAUGUACUCCCUCCAGGCCUUUAUUUCCCCCUUUUUCUUCAAAUACCUCUGAUAACAAACUGAGCCAGGUCAGCGUCAUUUAUGUGAGAUAAAACACACAAUCUUAAGUCCAGCCUUCCAUAAUGUUCUGUCCUGUAAUCUGAAAGUCCUUGGUUUUAAAACUCUCUCUACCCCAAUCUCAAUCCACUUCUUCAAAUUCCUGGAUUGGGCAAACCAUUUCCACUUUUCUGCAAUACCCUUCUACUCAGCUGGUGCUGAUCAGAAACUGACUCCCCGCUUGACAAGGAGGCCCGCAUUCUGCAUUUUGUGCAUUCUAAUCACUGGUGAUUUUAGCUUCCAUGUAAAAGAAUACAUCCUCAGGUCACAUCUUGGUUUACACAGACAUUAAGCUAUGUUGAGGUCUAUGUAUAUAAACUUAGUCAUAGAGCACCCGCCUAGAAAGGGCAAGGUUCUGGGUUUAAUCCUUAGCAAUACACCCUCGAAUUAAAUUAAAAAUCUUG